ACUGCGCGCCACAAUGCGUUGGAAUUGGCAUGUUAUUUAUAAACCAUCCACCAGGGGGCGCCACGUUUUAAAUUGAAACUCAGUCGAAAUCCAAAAUGAAAAGAAAAGAAGAGAGAAGUUUGACAACAAAGAUGGCGGACGUGCAGACUGUAACGAUGAACCAUUUCUUUCAUUUUUAAACAAAUCGAGUAGUUACGUUCUUUCCACAAUAUUAAUUUGUUUUGAACAUAUUUGGGGAAUUCCCGGUAAUAAAAGGGCAUCUCCAAUGUCCUGUUUGCAGAGCGGGCACUGGUCCGCCACAGCACACAGAGCCUCCUCCAGCGCCGCCUGCGUGUGCAGGUCCGGCAGCGCGCUACACGACUCCAGCAUGCCCAGCGUGUUUCUCAGCCAACCUUCCUCUCGGACCAGCGCCUUGACCCAAGGCUGAGCGCGCACGCAGCCCCCCAGGGCCUGGAUGCCCAACCUCCAGAGCUCCGCGACCUCAUCCCAGCUGUUCUCCCAGGCGGGGCUCACCUUGGCCGGUCCUGGGCUGGGCUUGGAGUCCAGAGCGCUGUGGAGGAAGCAGAGGGCAGUGGAGAAGAAGCGGCUUUGACCGGCUUCAGCUGAACAAGGAGAGAAAAGGUGGUACAUUAAAGCAGAGAAGGCCUCCUCCAACACGCCAAGGACCUGCCUGCUCUGCUGGAGACUGAGGCUGGCGACGCUGCCCUGAGCCGGUGCAGUCGCGGCCGUGACCGCCGGGCUGCAAGCCUGCUCUAUGGCGGCCUCCAUGAUCCGUCAGGCGCGCUCCAGAAGAGCGCACAAGUUUUGCAGUGAUCACUUUAUUAUAAGUUUGUUUGAUAUACUUUGAAAGUUUAGUAUUUCCCAUUUAAUUAUUAUUUUGAUUGUUUUAUUUUGUCUUGUAAUGGAGUACUUAAAACACAUUUUUGCUCCAACUGUUAGGUAAAGCACUCACUCAAGUCUAAAUAAAAGAAAGCAAAUGUGAGCAAAACCUAAAAGAAAUAAGCUUUUACCAAAGGCAGCAAUAAAAUGAAGCUUUUAGCUCAUACACAAUGUUGACAUCUGUAGUUAUAUUUUGAUAAAGACGGAAAAAAACACGCACUCGUAUACAGCGCAUGCAACAACAACAACAACAGACAUGGCUGUGGACGUGAAGUUAAAUCAUGAAAUGAAACCUAACCCGAGCAAAAACAAAUAUUAAUCCAGGAGAAUCUUGAUACCGAUUUCCUUGACCCAGCCAAACACAAAAGUUGUAGACCUCCGUGCUUUUCCAAGUUUUCAUUUGUUUUCUGUAUGUAGAAUGAUGUCUGGCACACCAAUUCCACGUCUGGAAAUGCGACCAACAGAUAAUCCUUCAGAUCACUCGCCAAAUCUUUUUUUGAUAACGUAUAUGAAUCUGAUUUUUUGCUCGGAUCUGAUUUUACUGGGGAAGAUCUAGGCCCCUUCUGUACUCCGAUAGUUUGCUGCACUGUAGCCAUGUUGAUUUGGUGACCCACCACUUCACUUACUUCCGUUCAAAGGUCACUUGACUGAAUACAACCUAUAUUUCUUUCAAUUUGAAUUAAAUUAGAUUUUCAGUUUACAACUUUAAGUCAAAAAUAUAGAAUUGAUCUUUUAAACCAAGACCAGGGGCUUCUUCACAAUUGUAGCAACGAGCGAACGUCUCAGCGAGGAUUGAAAGUCAAGUAAGAUACCAUUCAAACUACCUGUCAGUGUGUCCUGCUGCUCUUGGCUCAGAUCGCUGCCAGGGGGUUCCUCCAAACCCAUCCUGACCUCCACGCACGCCCGAUUCACCAGGAGGCAGCAGAACUUUGGUGGUCCAGCCAGCUCCCAUCCGUACAAAUCAAGCAGACAUGCGCUGAGGACUAAAACUGGCCCGAUCUGUCUGGGUGUCAUCUUAGCCUGCAUCAUGGGUUGCAGUUCCCCCCACACUCGGCUCACAACUUCCCUCAGCGUCUCCCUUUCGACUGUUACUCCUACCGGGGGGAGGAACUGGACCAACUGGGAGCACAUGCCCAGCCUGGUCUGUCCCGUGGCUGUGCAGAAGUCUUCGGACAUUGUCACUAGCAGACUCAACAGUUCAGAGGAGUGUUUGCUCCACGCUUUCUCUUUGGUUUUACCGGAGAGGAGGCAACCCAGCAAGGGAAUGCCCAUCUUCUGGCUGAAGGUCUGGUUCUGUUCCACGGCCUGGCAGAGAGCGGGAACGGCGCCCCGGCUCAACAACUGGUCGGGACCUCUGGGUAAGGCGUGUACAGCUGUCAGCACCUGGUAGCAGUCGGAAGCCAUGGCUUCAUCAAGCUUUGCUGGAGGAUGAUUCUCAGGACCCUUCUCCCUCUGCUCACGGCUCGUUGGACCACGUGCGAGGAUUUCCAGCAGUAACGGGACUGUAGCGAGCAGCUGAGGCUGAGAGGCCAUCUCCGGAUCGGUGCUCAGGGCAGACAACAGAGCCGUACCCAAAGACAGGAGCUCAUGGACGGGCAAGCUGGGUUCCCCGCUGCCCUUCACUGCGGUCACCAGCAGCCGAGCGGGAAGGUUAAGACCCACCGCCUCAAAUAUGCGCCGCAAGGUGGGUUUGUCCAGUUGACAGGCUGGGCACAAACGUGUGAUC